rnacentral:rRNA from 1 species
AACGAACGCUGGCGGCGGGCUUAACACAUGCAAGUCGAGCGCCCGUGGCAACACGGGAGCGGCGCACGGGUGAGUAACGCGUGGGAACCUGUCCCGCGGUACGGCACAACCCAGGGAAACUUGGGCUAAUACCGUAUACGCACUAUGGUGGAAAGAAUUUCGCCGUGGGAGGGGCCCGCGUAGGAUUAGCUAGUUGGUGGGGUAACGGCCUACCAAGGCAUCGAUCCUUAGCUGGUCUGAGAGGAUGAUCAGCCACACUGGGACUGAGACACGGCCCAGACUCCUACGGGAGGCAGCAGUGGGGAAUAUUGGACAAUGGGGGCAACCCUGAUCCAGCCAUGCCGCGUGAGUGAUGAAGGCCUUAGGGUUGUAAAGCUCUUUCGCCGGGGAAGAUAAUGACGGUACCCGGAGAAGAAGCCUCGGCUAACUCCGUG